UAGUAAUGAAUGUCGGUGAAGACUUGUAAUGAUUAUGGCUGUACGAUCAGUUAGGUAUUUUCCCGGCAGCAGCUUGAGUCUGCUGCCGGGAACACUGGGCUGGGCGGGAGGUCUUUCUUCUGGUUCUGGCGGCUGUGGUGCUUACACUCUUCCUGUGGGCUCUGUUCUUCUCCUCCUUCUCUCUUCCCUUACUUUACUGUGUUUGUUAUACAAGAUAACUAUCUGACUGGGCAUUACUAUGUUACUGGCUAGAACGGUUGUGUGGUAGCCUAGGGUCUAGGUCAACUAGCAAAGGAUACAUCUUACACUGUCUGGACAUCCAACUGGAUCACUUCAUGAUUGAGAGACUGGCCAGGUCCAUGAGCUGGCCAGAGGAAGAGUGGGUGAAAAUCCUACAGGAAAAACUUAGAGGUAAAGCCAACACACACCGCCAAUCGUACUCAUGGGCACACAAGCCGAGGAACCCAGUAACACCACUGGGGCAACAGACGGUAGGGAAGCUCUCUCCCCCACACCAACACAAGGCGACAGAUCCGUAGCCACCAACAGGGGAAAAUCCUCCUCCCGAAACAAAUUCACUGGCGCAGCCGCCACACCAGUACAGACUGCCGCCAGGUACCUCUCAAGUCCACAUCGAAAACAUGUCCUGGGCUGCCCUGCAUAGAAGGCGCGCAUGGUGUAGCCCAGGGGUCUCCAAACUUUUCAAUGUAAGGGCCACAUUAUAUAUUUCCCAUAUUUAUGCGGGCCGGAGGAAUAAAAAAU